UCUGUCUGAAAAAAAAAAAAAAAGAGAGUUGAAAUUGAAAAAAAAUAGACUGCUGGCAAGAAAACUAAACCAUGUUUAUAAAACUUCCAUUUAAAUGCUCACUAAAAUGGACAAAGAAAAACAAUACUAGGGAAGAAAAUAACGUAGACAUGAAAUUUAAAAAGGCCCCAAAUUCAUGGUACAAACACUGAAAAGCACUCAGUCAAACUGAAACUGGAAGAGGAUAUCCUACCUUGAGACUCACACGCAGCUCUCAGCUCUGGCACAUGGUGCAGGGUAGUGGUGAUGGCAGGUACAAUUCUGAAAGUGGUGUUGGCAGGUAAGAGGUGGGUGUUUGAGGGACAGAGUUUACCAGAUUCUGAGAAGAAGGCAGGGCCCUUCUAUCUGACCCUGAGUUAUACACAUGAUAGGAUGUGGAUUCAUAGAGUGUUUUGUACUAAUGUUUGCAUUUUACUUCCACCUAAGUAACUUUCUAGCCCCCAGGGGACGGGCAAAGGAAGAAAAGGUGAAGAUGAAUGACCAGACAUGUGGGUUGCCCUGCUCAGCUGUGUCAGAACGGCUUGAUCCUCAGCCCCGCACAGGACCACUCUCUGGCAUGCACCAGCGGAGAAACUGGAGGCACACUGGCGCAGGAGCAGCCCCAGGCUUGAGGGCUUUUCCAGCCCUGUCUGUUUACCCACGUGAUGGUUUGCUACGGUUUUUAAUAGCUGGUAAAGUGAACACCCAGUUCAUUCUCCUCAUUAUCUCCUGGAUUCCCGCCUACCGCCAUCAGUCAGUAUGCCCUACAUUUUUCUUGACGUGAAGCACAGCCUGGAGAAUAUUCCCUGAAACAGCUCUUUAAACGCAAUCCAAAAAAGGCAUCAUGCUGACUUAACCAUGUUAUGAGGGAAAGGAUCCAAAUUAUACCACUGUGUCGUAAAAAUUAUUAUGACCUGAAGACAUUUGAGAAUCAACAGAUGCAGAAAGAGGCUUUGUCUGAAUACUCCCUUAUCUGACUAAAAGCAGAAACUUCUGGGAGUGAGACUGCCACUAGCCCCCUCUCUGGAGGAGUUUCACGGCUGUGAAGAAGAUGAAGAAGACCACAAACAAACAUGAUGAAGAACCAUCUUGUCUCCUGGUUUGUUCUCCUAAAAAUACAUUUGUCUUUCCUAAAUAAACCCAUUUGUUCUUCCAGUAGAAGCCUUUUCCUCCCUGCUCCUUUACCCUUAUUAAGGUAGGCUUGUAAAUCCCUGUCUUUAGUUAUGGAUAAAGUCAUUUUCUUUGUGGGUUCCUAGUAU
rnacentral:lncRNA from 1 species